GAUGAACGCUGGCGGCGUGCCUAAUACAUGCAAGUCGAGCGGACGGACGCUAAUCUUGCGUCUCUGAUGUUAGCGGCGGACGGGUGAGUAACGCGUGUAUAACCUACCUAUAUUACGGAUAUAACCUCGAGAAACCGGAUCUUAUACCGUAGAAGAUUUUGAACCGCAGGGUUCAAUAGUAAAAUACGGUCUUUCUGUCACUUAUAGAUGGUUCCCGGCUGCAUUAGCUAGUUGGUAAGGUAACGGCUUACCAAGGCAACGAUGCAUAGACGACCUCAGAGAGGGGUAGGCCACAUGGGAAGUGAGACAGGGUCAAGACGCCUAAGGGAGGCAGCAGUCGGGAAUCUGACGCAAUGGGCGAAAGCAUGACGGAGCAACGCGGCGCGAGUGAUGAAGGCCCUCGGAUCGUAAAAACCUCUUAUUAGGGAAGAACAUAUGUGUAAGUAAACGUGGCGAUAUUGACGGUACCUAAUAAGAAAGCACCGGCUAACUACGUG
rnacentral:rRNA from 1 species